GGGCGAAUAGUUCAGUGGUAGAAUGUCCGCUUCGCAUGAUACAUCUACCUUGCUUGCGGAGGGUCCUGGGUUCAAACCCCAGUUCGUCCA
rfam:Colletotrichum gloeosporioides Nara gc5 unplaced genomic scaffold scaffold521, whole genome shotgun sequence.